GAACUUUCUUCUCCCGUCGCCGUCUCUGUCUCGAAUCUCCGCUCCUGUCGCCCAAGCGCUGCUUCGCUGCCGCCUCUCCUCCCAUAGCAGCGCCGCCCUACCGUCUCUCCCUCGCGUGCGUCCUCUACGGUGCUCUUCUCAGUGCUCCCAGCGAGGGAGAUGGCAGCGCAAGGGCGAGAUGCGGCGCGACUGCAGCAUCUCCUCACAUCCAUGGGCCGCACCUUCCGGCAUCCUCACCUCCCAGAGCCCUCCCUUCCAGGUGCUUGAUUUGGUGAUGAGAAAGCUGAUUCGUCAAGUUUAUCCUGGGACAACGAGAUUUAUCGGUGAAUUAAGGGCAUCAGGAUGAGCCUACCAUGGAGAAAGCUCACAGGGACCUCCCUUGGGGCUGUGCUUGGCUAUCACCAGCAUUCAUCCUCGCCUGAGCUGCAGAACUUACCAUCUAUCAAUGCAUCACAAAUGUGGUUUGCAUCAGCAAGGUAGUUUGGUGUGCCACUGCCCAGCAGCCCAGGUGACAUGUGAAGGAUGACAACGUGUUUGGUUUCACCAACUAGGGCAUACGUAUUAGAAGUUUCGAAGUCAAUGAUCAAUCCAUAUAUCACUCUUUAGGAUGCCUUCCGAUUUUCCCUGACUUUUUAUGCCAACCAUAUCUGAUAUGCUAUUUUAAGCACAACCUUACUUUGUUAAGAGUUUAUUUUCUUGUGAAUCACUUAAUUAUCCCUGGAGUGAUAAUUAUUACUCACAUUGGACAAGCAGAAUCAAGCACUAAUGGAAACAUAAGGACCAAACAAUGUCCCAUGAGAUGGAUCGACUUCAGUAUGCCGAGGAACCCUACCACAUCGAUGUCAAAUUGGGGUUACCUUGGAGGUAUGUUUGUUGCAUUCAAAGUUCAAUACUCAGCACUACAUUUGUACCGCAUCAGUUACUAUAAAGAUUUCCUCUAUGUUUUUCCUUAAACCAGAGAGGUGCGUAUAUGUUCCAUUUUAACAAUUUGAGCUGUAACAUAUGUCACAGUAUUUGAUUUAUUCAUUUUGAGACAUGGCUAAGCAUUACCUUGACCUACAUAGCACUGACCACUUGAGCUGCAUAUGAAGCUUAAAAGUAGGAAAUGGGAUUCAAGCUUCGUAAAAAUUUUUAGCGUUCUUCGUUCAAGUAGUGUGGAGUCUGUACCAUUUUCCUUUACUCCAAGAUAGAAUAUUGGACUUAAAAUGCACCACUAUUCAAGUAGUGAUCACUUGAACCCAUCAAAUCUUGAUCACCUAAGCAAAAACUGUAAUGUGGUUUCAAUUUGGUCGAUGGACAGCACAAAGUUGUCAGCUCCAGUUUGGGCAGCUUCAACUGUGCCUGUAACAGUAAGAAUGCGAGUACAUGGGGACCCAUUCAUCUUGAUUAAGUAGGGAACCCUGGAACAGGGGAUCUCGACAUCUGAACCCAUGACUUCAGGUCAGUCACCACAAACAUGUGUUUUUACUAUGAAUCAAGUUAGGAUUUGCAGGACUCUUCAGUUUCAUCAGCAGUAAACCAUCCAUGGUCUGACAUUGCCCUUUCAAGAAUCUUCAAAGAAUAAGAGAAAAGAAUGAGAAGGCUACAUGGCAAAGUUGGGAUUCUAAUAAUUUCUCCUUUGUCUCCAAAGGCUCAAAAUAGUAGCGAAAUAAAGAUCCGUAGAAAUUUUGGAUAACUGACAAGAAGUGAAGGUAUUAGAGAAUUGAAAGUUUACUCAAAUGAAGGCUAGAGUUUCAACCAUAUUUACAUAGUAUCUAGCUGUUUUGUCAUUCCUAAAUCUAAUUAAAAGAAAGAGAAAAAAAUCGAUCAGGGUUUCCUAUAGCUAUAAGAUUGUUGAUUUACUAUCACCUGUUCAUUGUAUUUUGUCACUAACCUCACUCAGUUUUGCCCGUUGCUAUUCAGAUUCUCAGAUAUUUGUUCAGUUCACGCCAAAAAUCAAGGUUGCAAGCACGAGGUUCUCUGAUUAUCAUUUUAGAAAUGCAUUGGCAGGAUGCUGCACGAAGAUAGAUUUAAGCAGGAAGCUGCUUGUCUCCCUGGUGGUUCAUUUCUGUUGAUUUGUUUCUAUAUUUGAAUAAAAUAUGUUAAUACUACAGUCUACGGUAAAGAGUUAAAUGCCACCUUAGCAGAGAGGCUAGCGCGAUGGAUGGAGAAUGGAGACAGUGAGGGGGAGCUGCAGCUGCAGCGCAGAAAUAAGUCUAGACCAUCACCCAGAUCAUGCAUUUUGCAUAUUGUCGAGAUUGCUAAAUUGAUAGUUGCGGUAUAUAAUUAACAAGGAUCAGUGAGAACAGUGAAGGAAAUAGAAGCAAGCGAUCGUUUCUGUCUUCAUGUCUUGCCACUGGCUUAUCGUGGUACUGAACAUACCCGUGUGGACAGUUCUACACCGUUCCUACAUCUAUAUUAUCAAUAAUUUAUACAUCAAUCUUAGCACCAGACAUGUAUGCUGACAAAAUAAGGGGCAUACAAAGAAGUGUAUGAACCUUGGUGCGCUUCCAGUUUGAUAUGAGAAACUUACUCUUUACAUGAUACUCCACCAGUUUUCAAGCAUACUGACAUAGAUCCGAUAUUUGCUGCCUUCA